ensembl:lncRNA
UCUCUACUGAAUCUUAUUUUUUUUUUUUUUUUUGAAUAGGUACAUUGAAACAAACUGAUUCACUAGAAUGAAUCUGACUUUUGAAGGCUACAAAUGCAAGAGAAUAGUUUAGGAAAGUUUGUUUGAAUAUUGAUUCUUAUAUGAUUGACUCUUACAUGAAAUACAGGUUUUGAUUCAUUUUGAUGUUAAUGGUUGGAAACAGUAGCUUGUUACUGGAAAAGCUUGUCUGUUUUGAAAGCAGCAUCAACAGUCAUGCCAAAAUAGUUAAGUUAGUAGUGUUUUUACUGUUUUGUUUUUACUUUACCUGUCAGAUAAUUUGGUUAAUGUAGGCAGUUUGAAAAGUGCAAAAUGUACCUUUAAGUGCGUCUGCAAAAGCACAAAACCACCAUUUUUUCAGUCCAGGGUUUUUUUUUUUUUUCAGUCAAAGUCCAGAAAAGUUUACACAAUGUCCUGCCUUACAAGAUGUCCAGUAUUUUUUUUUUUUUCUUGUCUUGCAUGUCAGACACUCAAAACUAUGUUUCACCUUCCCACCUUACAAACAACGCGAGCAUGUCCACCCCAUCGCCAGCUUAACCUGACACGCAUCUGUGCCGGUUUUUUCUUUUCUUUUUCCCCCGCUUGCUUUUUCUGGUUUGGUUUUGUUUUAAUCAGAUGGAGGGUCUCUACUGACGAUGUCACGUCUGGGCUCACACACGCACGCACGCUCAGAAGGACAGUGGGCUGUCCGGUGUAGCAUCAUUAGCUCAGCGGAGACGUGGCGGCCCUGACACAUGUCGAGCGGCGUGCAGCCAACCCACGGACGAGCACGAGUCGCUCCUGCAUAAUUUGAAGUCAUCCAUGGCAGUGCUUUGAGAAUCCUUCCCCGCGUUCCCCAUGACUUGAACGGAGCAUCGCUCAGCGCCGUGAUGGCUCUAUUCAUACUCAGUUGAGUUUUCUCCUGCUCUCCACAGCUGCGCGGCCGUCUACGCAGCGGGCUUCUCUCUCUCUCUCCCUCAUGUGCGCUCAAAAGGUCAAGUAACGAGGGAGAAGAAGUGAAGGAGAAGUAACACGCAACAGCUGAGUGUGUGGGGAACGGGAGAUGAGUGACAGCAUGUUUGCCACUGCAUAAUGAGUGCUGCUCUUUCUGUACUCCGCAACUGCCUCCAUGCCCCCAGGUGCGCUCGGGCCCAGUGACGCUUCACCUUAACUCCAGUCAGACAGCACAUCAGAAGUUCUUCAGUGAGGUGUGGCCGUCCAGAGAUGCCACUUAGUGUUGGCAUCCCCCUGGGGAUGCCUGGAUGUCUUUUCCAAUCAUUUGUAGUGAGUAAAUGAGACGCAGAGCUGACAAUGUGUGAGUUUAUGUGCCCUGUUCUGACACGAGGGUAAAUCGCCAAUGUCUACUGCUGCUCGCUUAAAACGUUGGAUACAUUAUUUUUGUCUUGAUUAAAUUAUGUACGUCCUUGCUAAUCAGGUCUGUGAAACAUCACUGUCCACUACAAACUUGCGUUUUCCCUUUAAUAUCCCUUUGGCUAUUUUUUUUUUAAGUUUAAGAUUAUUAUCUUGUGCAUUUGUGGGCUGCCUUUAUUUUGCU